GUCAAGUGCUUGCCCGGAUACCGGAGGCCCUGCUUCCACCCCCAGUACAAUCCCCCUACAAAAUAAAAACGUGCAGAAGUGGUGCUGGCAAGUUUACCCCGCUGCUGUUACAUAACCAGGGAAUAGAUUGGAGGCAACACAAUCUCUGGCUCACAGUGUAACACCCGAGAGCAGAACUCCAAAGUCCCAGUCUCCAGUGCAGUGUGGGUUAGCGAGGAGACACUACAGGGAAAUCUGCCACGGAGGGCACUGUGUGCCCCAGAUGCAGGGGGUCUGUGCCGGGUACUCUCCAUGGGUCUCAGCACAGACUUCCAGGGCUUGCCGAGGCCCAACUCUACACAGGCAUGAAAGCCACAGACCGUGGGAGGAACUCUGCUUGGAGUUGUCAGUUUGAUCUCUUCUUGGCCUGGCAGUCUGUGGUUCUACAUCUCCUGCGGGUGCCGGGCUGUGCCAGUGAGCCACCGUUCCCAGCCAGCGCCAUGAGCAGUGGACCCCAGUCUGCUGCACUGCUGAGCAGCUCAAGCACUGACGGUCUUGACCCCAUCAUAUGA
rnacentral:lncRNA from 1 species